ACAUCAACCUCUUGAAACAGUUAUUCUUUUGGGACCCGUAGCAUAUGUGUAGACAUGUGCACACAAAGAUAGAAGAUAUGCAAGUUCAUCAUGGAAGAAAGAAGGCAGACCAGCUCCAUGAACCAAGGUGCAGCUCCCAGCUCACUAUACUUGAGGCCACUGCAGUGCCACUUCACAUGGUGCAGGAGUAAACAUUGACCUUGCAGGUCUGAAAACAUCUGCCUUUAGUUAUUUCUCAUUUUGGAGAAAGAAGAUUUUGAAACUGAAGAUUUAAGUAAUUUGCCAGAGUCAGAAUGCUGUAAGCAUCAGAACUCGAUUUUCGAACUUAAGUUUAUCUGACUCAAAAGCUUUUGCCUUUCACCACCACCCUAUUGCUUCUAAAAUGUCAAACAUCGGCUGAACCACAGGACAGGUAUCCUAUAAAUGAGGAGGAUGUGGAUGCACCCCCAUGUGUACGUAAGGACACACGAGCUAAAGGCUUUACCUGACCCAGUAAAAGUGUCAAGCGCUCCAUCUCCAGUCGUGGCUGUGGUUUCACUGCUGUUCAAGGGCUCUGUUUUGACUGCAAGAAGAGACACUACGUAGAAGAAUAAGUACAUGCUGGCUGGGAGAUGUGGCUCCUCUCCGCGGCACAGUGUCUAUAUCACUGAUCAGGUGGACAGAUAGUCCCAGAAGGAGGCCCUCACCAACCCAUUUCCCCAGACACAGUCAGAACUGGGGUCAGCUGCAGAGAUGGGAACCGCAAGAGGAAGGAGACCCUUAACAAGGACCAGGAAAGUGGUGUAUGCAUAAAGAAAGGAAGCUGUUCUUGAAAUGUGCCAGUGACCUCAUCCCUGUCCCUGAGGCCAGCAUGAGUGCUUGCAGUGCAAGUGACCCAUCUGCCAGGGUGACCUCAGGCCUCGGACUAACAGCAAAUAAAGCCAUGAACACACUGUUCUCUGGACACUUUUGCAAUUUUUCCUUUCCAGGGCCUACAGCUCUAGACUUGAGACCUGCAACUCUUCCCCUUUGUUCACUAUGACUCUAACAAAUUUAAAACAUGUCAGUUCUCUCCAACCCCAAGAAAUGUGAAUAAAUGUUUCCGAAAACCAGAAGCAUUUCCCUAAAUUUUUGUUUUUAAAAGUCCCCCUUAAUCGGAAAACAAAGAAAUAAACAAAAAUCCAAUGGAUUUUCCAAGCAUUAUUUGAAUGGCACAGGAUUCACUUUCUGUCAGAUCAGUUCAAACCAUCAUUAAUGAAGCAGAAAAUUAUUUUCCUCUAGCAAGUAGUGGAGUAAAGCCAUAAGACCACAAUCAAAACAUUUAAUGCCAUCAAUUGUACUAAGAAACAUAUCACUGUUUUUUUCUAAGAAAAAACUCUACCAGUAAAGAUCAAACUGUUCACAGGAUAAACAAAUCUAGGUUUCCCAAUGUUGUACUAACAAGAGCAAAGCAUUGAUAUAAUGUACAAAAAAAAGGUGGUAACCUAUUAAAAUGAUCAGAUUUCCAGUUCUGAAGGGACAUUAAAUGUCCUCAAAAGCAAAAUGGAAUAUUGUGCUUAAGGCUAUGAGAGCAGUGUUAAGAGUCUCUACUGUCAACUAAAACCUGAAUUUUAAACUCUGCCUCAUUUACCAGUCAUGGGACCUUAGUCUCAAUAUUGGAGAUAAUAAUAUCCUCUGGAAGGCUAAUGUGUGAAUUAAAUAAGAUCACACAAAAAAAAGUAUCCAAAGGUUGGCCUACAGUGCAUCCUUCAUAAAUUUUAUUACUACAAUCACUUCUACAACACAGACAAUAAAACAGCCUGGUUUGUCUAUUUGAAAACUUGUAGUGUCAAGAAAAUCAUUUUCUUAAGAGGCAGCCCUUUCAUUUUCAGAUAACUUAUACUAUCAGAAAGUUUUCUAUCCGGGGCUUCCCUGAAACUUUGGUCCAAGAAAAUUCAUUUAUUGUCAUGGGUCAAGUCUAAACCUUCUUUCAUAUAACAGUCUUUCACACAUCAAUGACCUGUCCUGCCCAAGAGCUUUUUCUCUCUCAGGGAGGGCAUCUCCAAUUCCCUCAGUCCACUCAGUCCAUCUCAAACUCUUUUACUUUCCUAGCAUUCUCUUCCAUAAGAUCUCCAGGAUUCUUCUUUAACAGUGGUCCCCAUAGUCACACAGUUGUGGUCCAAAAUAUGGCAAGGCUAUUACAACUCUCACUUGUCAGUGUAGACUGAAGAGUACAUUAGCUUUGUCCUCAGACACUGUGCAGUCCUAAUUCAUGCCUAAACCCAGCCAGUGAAAUUCUCAAGUCUUUGUCCCAUGUGAUGCUUGAGAGCCCUGUGUCCUCCCAGUCGCUCACUACACAUGCAGUUGGCAUUUGGGACCCGAGUGAACAGCUUUUCAUGUGUUUCUCCUAAAUGCCAUCUUGUUGGACUUGAGUCCAUUGUUUCAGCCUGUCUGUUAGAUUCUGAUUCUGCUGUUCAAUGUCCUCUUUCCCAGUGAAGUUCCUAUCUCACCUACAAACUUUCUUAGCAUGCCCUCAAUGCCCUCACAAUAAACAUGUUGGCCAGCCACAGUGGCUCACGCCUGUAAUCCCAGCAUUUUGGGAGGCCAAGGUGGGUGGAUCAUGAGGUCAAGAG
rnacentral:lncRNA from 1 species